UACUAGAAAAUGAAAGGAAUUGAAAUUAAGAGAAGAGAGGGAGUGAAGGGUGGCACCAAGAAUGAAAGGAGAAAGAGGUUGAGGGAUAGUGAGAAAGGUUGGAGAAGAGAGUAAAAAGAGGCCACUUACCCGAUUUAAAAUUUGUGAGAUGUUCCUUGGGCUGGUUGGUCUGAGGACCAAAGGUCGUAGGUGGAUCUCUUCAUGGAGUGAGGGUGAGGACAGGGGACAGUCUCCUGAAGGAGUCCUGCUGACCUGGGUCUUUGGCACCAAAUGUGUCAUGCAUCCAUGUGAAGAGACCACCAAACAAGCUUUGUGUGAGCAACAAGGCUGUUUAUUUCACCUGGGUGCAGACGAGUUGAGUCCAAAAAGAGAGUCAGCCCAGUCUAUAUCUUUUAAAUGGGAAAAUUCAAUCUAUUUACAUGCAACGUUAUUCUUGAUAGGUGAGUACUUACAUCUAGCAUUCUAUUAUUUUCUGCUUGUUUUGUAUAUCCUUUGUUCCUUCCUCUCUUACUGUUUACUUUUGUGGUUGGGCAGUUUUCUGUAGGGAUAAGAUUUGAGUCUUAUCUCUUUCUCCCUAUGUGUUAGCUUUACCAGUGAGUUUUUAUAGUUUCACAUAUUUUUAUGAUGCUGGUUAUCAUCUUCUCUGUGGGGAACAGGCCCCCCAAAACCUGGCCAUAAACUGGCCCCAAAACUGGCCAUAAACAAAAUCUCUGCAGCACUGUGACAUGUACAUGAUGGUCUUAACGCCCACGCUGGAAGGUUGUGGGUUUACCAGAAUGAGGGCAAGGAACACCUGGCCCACCCAGGGUGGAAAACCGCUUAAAGGCAUUCUUAAACCACAAACAAUAGCAUGAGUGAUCUGUGCCUUAAGGCCAUGCUCCUGCUGCAGAUAGCUAGUCCAACCCAUCCCUUUAUUUCAGCCCAUCUCUUCAUUUCCCAUAAGGAAUAAUUUUAGUUAAUCUAAUAUCUAUAGAAAGAAUGCUAAUGACUAGCUUGCUGUUAAUAAAUACAUGGGUAAACCUCUGUUGGAGGCUCUCAGCUCUGAAGGCUGUGAGACCCUUGAUUUCCUACUUCACUCCUCUAUAUUUCUGUGUCUUUAAUUCCUCUAGUGCCACUGGGUUAGAGUCUCCCCGACCAAGCUGGUCUCAGCAAGUGGUCUCCAUCAUGGGGGCUCGAAUCCAGGUUGAAGGGUCACCAGAGUGAUGGUUGGAGAACAUGGAACUAGCUGGAGGACACCUGAGUACUCUUAAAGCAAACCCCGUGUUAAUUGAAAAUGCUCAGUUACGAUUUCAUACAGAUGAACAACUGAAGACAAAAACAACAAAGGGGGAGAAAGAGGGAUUAUGGGACAGCCCAUAUACAAUUGAAUCUAGCAUUAUUAACUUUAAAUUUUUUGAGUCUGCCUAAAGGCCAGAUGUUAUCAGCAGCUGAACAGCAUUUACAGAAACCGGCUGCAAAGACAGAAGCAGAACAACUGGUUUGGUGGAGAGAUCCGAUAACAAAAAGUUGGGAAAUAGGUAAAAUAAUAACUUGGGGUAGAGGUUAUGUUUGUGUUUCUCCAGGCCAAAAUCAAUAACCAAUUUGGAUACCAUCAAGACACCUGAAACCUUAUCAUGAGCCAGAUGCUGAGGAAGAGAUUCCAGGAGGAUCCUGAGGACCCCCUGGUUGCAGCCACGUCGAGGCUGACACUGAGGAGGACCCCAACUGUCAUGAGCAACACCCGUCGAACACAGCCAUCCACCUGGGGACAAAUCAAGAAGCUGUCACAGAUGAUGGAAGAAAACCUGAGGAAAGCGGGACAACCAAUCACAAUGAGUAAUUUGGUGAUCUAUCACAGUGAUGAUCACCAUUGCCAUGAGUAUUCCUUCAACAAGGGCUGACACAGAGAACAAUUAUACUUAUUGGGCAUAUUUAUCAAUCUUGUCUGGCAAUAAUGCCUAGAUGAUUUCACUCUAUGGCACAGUUACACAUGCUUUCUGAUCUCAGUAUUUACCAUAAUAAAUCUGCUCCUAUAAUUGAGGCAUACCACCCUCAAAAACCUAUUUGUAAACAAAAUAGAACCUGGCCAGAAAUAAUGAACAACUUGUUUAGUAAGAUUGCAUUGCAGAACAGGCAGAGAUGCUACGCAAUGAUUCCUAUGGGAUCAUUGAUUGGUCCCCUAAGGGGAUGUUUAGCUUAAAUUGCACCUCUCAGUCUGCAUGCCAUGGCCACACUAGUUCAGAUGGUCUGAACAAAGUGGUCAGAUGGCAGAAAUGAUAAGAAGUAUGGCAAAAGUUCCUAUUGUCUGGAACCAUGGCAGUAUAGUGUCACCUCAACCUCAAAUGAUAUGGCUCAUUGUAGGAGCUAAACAUAAGGAUUUGUGGAAACUAUUAAUAGCUCUUAAUAAGAUCAAAAUUUGGGAAAGAAUAAAAAAAGCAUCUAGAAAGACACUCUACAAACUUGUCUUUGGAUAUUACAAAAUUAAAAGAACAAAUAUUUAAAGCAUCCCAGGUACACCUGACCUUAAUGACAGAAACUGGAGUGCUUGAAGGAGCUGCAGACAGAUUAGCAGCUAGUAACCCAUUAAAAUGGAUAAAAACACUUGGAAGCUCUGUGAUUUCAAUGAUGAUUGUGCUUUUAAUCGGUAUUGUUUGUCUUUGUAUAGUGUGCAGAUGUGGAUCCUGACUCCUGUGAGAAGUAGCUCACAGUGUCAAAGCUGCCUUUGCUUUUAUCGAUUUGCAAAUCAAAUAAGGGGGACAUAUUGGGAACAGCACCCCCCCCCCCAAAAUCUGGCCAUAAACUGGUCCCAAAACUGGCCAUAAACAAAAUCUCUGCAGCACUGACAUGUUCAUGAUGGUCUUAAUGCCCACGCUGGAAGGUUGUGGGUUUACCAGAAUGAGAGCAAGGAACACCUGGCCCACCCAGGGUGGAAAACCACUUAAAGGCAUUCUUAAACCACAAACAAUAGCAUGAGUGAUCUGUGCCUUAAGGCUGUGCUACUGCUGCAGAUAACUAGCCCAACCCAUCCCUUUAUUUCAGCCCAUCCCUUCGUUUCCCAUAAGGGAUACUUUUAAUUAAUCUAAUAUGUAUAGAAAGAAUGCUAAUGACUGGCUUGCUGUUAAUAAAUAACGUGGGUAAAUCUCUGUUGGAGGCUCUCAGCUCUGAAGGCUGUGAGACCCCGGAUUUCCC
rnacentral:lncRNA from 1 species